AGCAUUUUCAAAUAUUUAUAGCAAGUUGGCAAGAUAAUUUAAUGUUUUAUUUUGCCCAACAGCUAGAUGCUCCACUUAAAGGAAUACAAACAAAUUGGAGCUGAUUUAACCAACACAUACUACUCAGCAACUGAGAAAACUUUGUGGAAGGAUUAAUUGUUUGUGGCAUAGUAUACAACAAUAAUAACAACAACUCAACAAAUCUGCCAUAGGAGAAAUAGAAGAUAAUUAUUAAGGAUAGAUAACCUAACGCUGAAUACCUCAGACUCUGCAUUUUUCAUCUUCUAUGAAAAUACAGUAAAGUUGUAAUAUGUCUCUUUGGUUUUGCUUAUCACAAAAAUAUAUGCUGACCCAAAUGUUCUCUUUGCUAGCAUAAUGCCAAUUGAUUUUCAUCAUUAAGAGAUCCUCAAAUGAUAGCUGAAUUUUCAAAGACUUCAAAGAAAGUAUCUAUCGGACUUAAUGUAGCUUGAUUGAACAUUUUCAUCAUGCUGAAAGCAACAUCAGCAGCCCUGUGAAAGGAAUAAAUGGGCAUGUACUUUCCUCGAAAGACAAUCCUUUUUACUGCCGAAGACAUUGGAAAUCUUCAAUAGUUGGAGCUGGGGCCUUCACCAAAAAGCUGUCUUUUACCUAAGUCUUUGCUCUACCUUUCACUCCUGUAAUCAAUUCUGGUACAAGUAUGAUCUUCAGCUAUCAGGCCAUAUCAUACAGCUGUAAAAUUUGAAAAUAAACAGGU